rnacentral:rRNA from 1 species
CCCUUAGAUGUCCUGGGCUACACGCGCGCUACACUGAUGUGUCCAGUAAGCACCUAACCUCUUCCGAAAGGAACGGGUAACCUUUGCAAAGCACAUCGUGAUGGGGAUAGAUUAUUGCAAUUAUUAGUCUUGAACGAGGAAUUCCUAGUAAGCACAAGUCAUCAGCUUGUGUUGAUUACGUCCCUGCCCUUUGUACACACCGCCCGUCGCUCCUACCGAUUGAAUGUUCCGGUGAGCUCUUCGGACUGCGCGGUCUGCAGUUUCUGCGUUCCGUGCGGAAAGUUGCGCAAACCUUAACAUUUAGAGGAAGGAGAAGUCGUAACA